GCGAUUGUAGUCAAGUGGUUAAGACACAGGAUUGUGGCUCCUGCAUGCAUGGGUUCGAACCCCAUCAGUCGCCCCA
rnacentral:tRNA from 1 species